rnacentral:rRNA from 1 species
AGCUACUGGGGGCGUGGAGGCGGGGUAAAUCGGAGGGUGCGAGAGUGGUUCGUGAGUAGUGGGCGGAAAGAGCUCGUAGGUGGUCUGGCGCGUCGGCGGUGAAAACUCGGGGCUCAACCCCGAGCCUGCAGUCGAUACGGGCAGACUUGAGUGCGGUAGGGGAGACUGGAAUUCCUGGUGUAGCGGUGAAAUGCGCAGAUAUCAGGAGGAACACCGGCGGCGAAGGCGGGUCUCUGGGCCGUAACUGACACUGAGGAGCGAAAGCGUGGGGAGCGAACAGGAUUAGAUACCCCUGUAGUC